rnacentral:lncRNA from 1 species
CUAGAACGCCCACAGACAGACUUCAGUGUUCAUGGCCAUUUCCUAUUGAAGACUUCCAUUGUUCCUGUUAGGAAUGUUUAGCCUCCUCACCUUGCAGGGCGGUGCAGAGCUCAACUUCUAUUCACAACAGACAGGCUUCUCUGUGCUGCCCAUCUGAUCUGAUCCAGUCAGAAGCCGGGGCAGGGCUGUCUCGUGGGCUGCCCAUCUGAUCUGAUCCAGCCAGAAGCCGGGGCGGGGCUGUCUCGUGGGCUGCCCAUCUGAUCUGAUCCAGCCAGAAGCCGGGUCGGGGCUGUCUCGUGGGCUGCCCAUCUGAUCUGAUCCAGCCAGAAGCCGGGUCGGGGCUGUCUCGUGGGCUGCCCAUCUGAUCUGAUCCAGCCAGAAGCCGGGGCGGGGCUGUCUCGUGGGCUGCCCAUCUGAUCUGAUCCAGCCAGAAGCCAGGUUUGGGGUGUCUUGAACUGCACAGUCACUUGGCAGCUAGAGGAAGGGCCAACCGAGAGAGAGAAAGAGUGAAAGAGCAAGAGGUCCCCUGGAGAGAGAGAGAGAAAACGAGAUUCAAGGGAGACCCAGAGAGUGGAGAGGCCGAAACUCACCAAAGGCCAUCGAGGCAUGUGUGAUUUCUUUUAAAAUGCAUUGUUUUGAAUUGUAAUGACCCACCCGAAACAGGGCGGGUUGUCUGCUUUGAUGCCUCGCUCAGUUAGAACGUGUCUUUAUUUUUGCGUUUUAUCGUUGCCGCUGUAGUCACACAAAACAAUAUAAAUGCCAUUAUUCACUUUUUUUGGGGGGGGGGGGACUCAUUUGAAUUGGAAGAGGGUUGAGGCUUUAUCAUACGUGCUAAAUUAGACCAAUUCAUCCACUUAUGGAAACACAUCAGAGAGAGUCAGAGAGAGAAUCAGCGAGAGAGUCAGAGAGAGAGUUAGAGAGAGAGUCAGAGAGAGAGUCAGAGAGAGCCAGAGUCAGAGAGAGUCAGAGAGCCAGAGAGAGAGAGUCAGAGAGAUAUUCAGAGAGAUAUUCAGAGAGCCAGAGAGAGAGUCAGAGAGCCAGAGAGAGAUUCAGAGAGCCAGAGAGAGAGUCAGAGAGCCAGAGAGAGAGUCAGAGAGCCAGAGAGAGUCAGAGAGCCAGAGAGAGAUUCAGAGAGCCAGAGAGAGAUUCAGAGAGCCAGAGAGAGAUUCAGAGAGCCAGAGAGAGAUUCAGAGAGCCAGAGAGAGAUUCAGAGAGCCAGAGAGAGAUUCAGAGAGCCAGAGAGAGAUUCAGAGAGUCAGAGAGAGAUUCAGAGAGCCAGAGAGAGAGAGUCAGAGAGUCAGAGAGAGAUUCAGAGAGCCAGAGAGAGAUUCAGAGAGCCAGAGAGAGAUUCAGAGAGCCAGAGAGAGAGUCAGAGAGCCAGAGAGAGAUUCAGAGAGCCAGAGAGAGAUUCAGAGAGCCAGAGAGAGAUUCAGAGAGCCAGAGAGAGAUUCAGAGAGUCAGAGAGAGAGUCAGAGAGUCAGAGAGAGAUUCAGAGAGCCAGAGAGAGAUUCAGAGAGCCAGAGAGAGAGUCAGAGAGCCAGAGAGAGUCAGAGAGCCAGAGAGAGAUUCAGAGAGCCAGAGAGAGAUUCAGAGAGCCAGAGAGAGUCAGAGAGCCAGAGAGAGAGUCAGAGAGCCAGAGAGAGAUUCAGAGAGCCAGAGAGAGAUUCAGAGAGCCAGAGAGAGAUUCAGAGAGCCAGAGAGAGAUUCAGAGAGCCAGAGAGAGAUUCAGAGAGCCAAGGCACCUCUCUAAUCCCCAAGGGGACUGUGUGUCUAGACAGACAAAAUACCUUGUAGCCUCCUCCAUCACACCCCGCCUCACCCACACCUCUACCCUCACUUCACCCUCCACUGUAGGGUCAGAGGUACAAAGGGCCUGGUGCCCUAGGUGUGUGUGUGUCACAGGGUCAUAGACAUACAGGAGGAUUAGGACCCUGUGUGUGUUGUGUUGUGUUGUGUGUUUCCUGCAGAAGGUGGUGUUGGGGACCACACCACAGUCCUGUCUAGAUAUCAACUAUCACAGCACUAGUCAGGGGAUUGUAACUCCGCUCUCAACUGCUCUCAUCCUGCCUGUUUGGCCCUGUCCGGGGGUAUCAUCGGAUGGGGCCACAGUGUCUUCUGAUCCCUCCUGUCUCAGCCUCCAGUAUAUAUGCUGCAGUAGUUUGUGUGUCGGGGGGCUAGGGUCAGUCUGUUACAUCUGGAGUAUUUCUCUUGUCUUAUCCGGUGUCCUGUGUGAAUUAAAAUAUGCUCUCUCUAAUUCUCUCUUUCUCUCUUUCUUUCUUUCUCUCGGAGGACCUGAGCCCUAGGACCAUGCCUCAGGACUACCUGGCAUGAUGACUCCUUGCUGUCCCCAGUCCACCUGGCCGUGCUGCUGCUCCAGUUUCAACUGUUCUGCCUGCGGCUAUGGAACCCUGACCUGUUCAACGGACGUGCUUGUUGCACCCUCGACAACUACUAUGAUUAUUAUUAUUUGACCAUGCUGGUCAUUUAUGAACAUUUUAACAUCUUGACCAUGUUCUGUUAUAAUAUCCACCCGGCACAGCCAGAAGAGGACUGGCCACCCCUCAUAGCCGGGUUCCUCUCUAGGUUUCUUCCUAGGUUUUGGCCUUUCUAGGGAGUUUUUCCUAGGGAGUUUUUCCUAGCCACCGUGCUUCUUUCACAUGCAUUGCUUGCUGUUUGGGGUUUUAGGCUGGGUUUCUGUACAGCACUUUGAGAUAUCAGCUGAUGUACGAAGGGCUAUAUAAAAAAUAUAAAAAAAAUACUAACAUUUUAUUUGAACUGUGGAACGGGGCGGUGUGUGAGUCUGCUCCAUGUUUCAACUGUGGAACGGGGCGGUGUGUGAGUCUGCUCCAUGUUUCAACUGUGGAACGGGGCGGUGUGUGUGUCUGCUCCAUGUUUCAACUGUGGAACGGGGCGGUGUGUGUGUCUGCUCCAUGUUUCAACUGUGGAACGGGGCGGUGUGUGAGUCUGCUCCAUGUUUCAACUGUGGAACGGGGCGGUGUGUGUGUGUGUGUGUGUGUGUGUGUGAAGCCCCUCUUGAUCUCAGGGAAUCAGCCCUCAUAAGAUCAUUAUUACUCAGGUUUUACUCUGGCUGACAGGUACCGUGCGUGCGUGCGUGUGUGUGUCAGGUACCGUUGGGAUUACGCUGCAGUCAAAACACUGGAACGGCCAAAUUACACUGAACCCAAAGACUUCAAAGGGUGACACGCACAUUUGCCAGUAAUACUUCAAAGAAAUUGUCCCAGACGUUAUGCUAAGUUAUCCCUGUAAAAAAUAGAUAUGUUUCUUCAAUCUGUUGACAUCCUUUGAACUUAAUGUUAUAUUACCAUUGAGCUCUGAUUGUAGGCUACAGCUACCAGUAAUAUCUCAAUCAACCAACUGUCAUCCAACUGUUGUGGUUGGCUUCCUUGAUAUUACCAAUGGCUCCUGUCCUGUGACUGUCUGUCUAUGAAAAGGGAUGUGGUUUUGUGGUAAUACGAGGUUCCCUUCUCUCCUUUCCUCUUUUUCCUUCCCCGUCUCCCCCUACCCCUCUCUUCCUCCCCAUCUCCCUCCAUCUCUCUCCCCCUACCCCUCUCUUCCUCCCCAUCUCCCUCCAUCUCUCUCCCCC